rnacentral:rRNA from 1 species
UACGUAGGGUGCAAGCGUUAAUCGGAAUUACUGGGCGUAAAGCGUGCGUAGGCGGUCUGUUAAGUCCGUUGUGAAAGCCCUGGGCUCAACCUGGGAAUUGCAGUGGAUACUGGCAGGCUAGAGUACGGUAGAGGAUGGUGGAAUUCCCGGUGUAGCGGUGAAAUGCGUAGAGAUCGGGAGGAACACCCGUGGCGAAGGCGGCCAUCUGGACCAGUACUGACGCUGAGGCACGAAAGCGUGGGGAGCAAACAGG